GUAUAGUGUCUUGUCUGAGGACGACACAGACAUGGAACAUGAUGACAUGACUGGGGCUGGAGAAGAGAUGGACACAUGGAAAGACCUUCGUGACAUGGAGGCAGAGAGACAGAGGGUCCAGAAAGAAGAGAAGGGACCCCUGAUCACAAAGAAUUAAAAGCCCCAGCAAGACAAGGCAGAGAAAGGCGCUGCCACUUAUUUAUUUGUGAGGAUACAAUGGAGAUGGGACAGAUCGAUGGAGGCUUUAUUGAGGACUAAAGUACAGGGUAACAGAACCAAAAAGGACGGGGGGGGGGGGGUCACAAUGAAUGUUUCACUACUGACCUAAUCCUCAAAUGACAAAGAGGACGUGUAUAUAAGAAAAGAUAAUGUCUUUGUUAAGUAAAUGUCUUUUUCAUAUUAAAUAAAUGGCAUUUUCAUAUUAAAUAAA